rnacentral:rRNA from 1 species
CUGGCGGUAUGCUUAACACAUGCAAGUCGAACGGAAACGAUACUAGCUUGCUAGUAGGCGUCGAGUGGCGGACGGGUGAGUAACGCGUAGGAAUCUGCCUGAUAGUGGGGGAUAGCCCGAAGAAAUUCGGAUUAAUACCGCAUAAUCUAUUCUUAGUAAAGUGGGGGACUUUCGAGCCUCACGCUAUCAGAUGAGCCUGCGUAAGAUUAGCUAGUUGGUAGGGUAAAAGCCUACCAAGGCAACGAUCUUUAGCUGGUCUGAGAGGAUGAUCAGCCACAUCGGGACUGAGACACGGCCCGAACUCCUACGGGAGGCAGCAGUGGGGAAUAUUGGACAAUGGGGGCAACCCUGAUCCAGCAAUACCGCGUGUGUGAAGAAGGCCUGAGGGUUGUAAAGCACUUUCAAUUGUGAAGAAAAGUUAACGGUUAAUAACCGUUAGCCUUGACGUUAACUUUAGAAGAAGCACCGGCUAACUCCGUGCCAGCAGCCGCGGUAAUACGGAGGGUGCAAGCGUUAAUCGGAAUUACUGGGCGUAAAGCGUGCGUAGGCGGUUUAUUAAGUCAGAUGUGAAAGCCCCGGGCUUAACCUGGGAACUGCAUUUGAAACUGGUCAACUAGAGUAUGGUAGAGGAAAGUGGAAUUUCUGGUGUAGCGGUGAAAUGCGUAGAUAUCAGAAGGAACAUCAAUGGCGAAGGCAGCUUUCUGGACCAAUACUGACGCUGAGGUACGAAAGCGUGGGUAGCAAACAGGAUUAGAUACCCUGGUAGUCCACGCCGUAAACGAUGAUAACUAGCCGUUGGGGGGAUUUACCCUUUAGUGGCGAAGCUAACGCGUUAAGUUAUCCGCCUGGGGAG